UUUGUGAUCAUUUGGGUAAAUGCUCCGAAGUGGAAUCCUUAUAUAUUAACCUGCUCCGGAACGGUCUGGCCUUUUACAAGUGUUUUCUGUCUCAGUCUGUAUACUGACUCCUUGAAGGGGCAACUGAGGCACAGAAGUCAAGAAACUUCGCAAGGAUGUUGUUAGACUUUCCUUGUCUACAACAAGUGACGGAGAGAAACUGUUUCAAGGAGGAAAGGAGUGUUUUGGCUUGCUUCCGGCCUCUUCAGUCCAGGCUUGGUUGUGAGAGGCUUGUGGUCCUCAGGAUGCUGUGGAAGGAGGCACGGGCCCUGUCUGGUUCUUCAGGACUUGCUCCAGAAUCGCCACCUUGGCCAUGCCCACAAAGCAUGUGCUGACAUGCUGACACAGGUGUGGAUGUGGCUUCCUGCAAAGAGAAGAAUGAAUUGCCAGUGCCCUGGUUGGUUGAGAGAGUCAUGAGAAUGUGAUGAGAAGAGCACUAAGAAUUCUGAUGGCCUGUGGCGUG